AGUUGAUCAUGAGGAGGAUAGACUGUACAGGUGAUGCUUCUGGCAUUGGGUCCUGUAACGACUUCACCACCUGGUUUUUAAAGACAACAUCAGCUGGGAGAUGACUUCAUCUAAAGACUGAAAGUGAAGAAUUCAAGACUGAAAGUGAAGAAUCCCAGACUGAAAAUGAAGUAUCCCAGACUGAAAGUGAAGAAUCCUAGAUUUAAAGUGAUGAAUACCAAUGUGAUCAUGUCUGGCAUUGUCUUUCAAAUGUGCUGACCUUGAAAACCAUACAAAGACAUGUUCACAUGAUGGUAUUUCACAAUCCUCUAUUUUGAAAAUGAAGAAUAA